AGCUGCGAGUAGAGAACACAAAAGACCCAGGGAAGGUUGAGCCUGAGCCUACCUUCUGCAAGAGUGAACUGUGGGCAGGACAGGAAUUGGGUAAUCACAGACACACUUUCCUGACACUCGGGUGACUACCAGUUGGUGGUCAUCAGCCAGCCAGCCUCUGCUGGUGACUCUGGACAGUGAGAGACCUGAGAAAGGAGCUGGAUCCAGCAGCAAGCAGUUGUGCGGUAUUAGCUGGACAGCAACCGGCAGGUAUUGGCUGGUCCUGGAGUCCCUCACUGGGUAGAGGCUGUUCUGCUGUCUCCUGUUCCCAGAUCUGCAGUGAUCUUUUACAGGUUGGAAUUGCAAGUGGGCUGAAUGACCACACGUGUUUCCUGGGCUCUGGGUAUCUCAACUCAAGCGCCCAUGCUUUCAAGACAUGUGCUGUAACCAAGGAGUGACCUCUCCAGCCUGAGUCGCCUUCCUCACAGAACGGCUAUGCUUAUGAAGAAGAUCCCUGUCUACAGAACUAUCAUCUGAUGACUAUAGAAACAUGAAAAGCCCAUCGCGGUUCCGAUAGAAGAUCCCCUUCCUACCAUCCACUCGCUCUUACAGAUAGGUCUGUUCGUGAGCCCUGGGCACUGGCCACUGGGCGGCUGUGUCUGCUCACACAGCCUUUAUAGGACCUCACAGAAUUGGAAUCAUAAAGACGGUGGUAUUUUCUGUCCGGCUGCUUGUUCUCUGAAUACUGAUGGUGAACUUUACUGUUACAUGCAUUCAGGCUGAGUUCAUGCUCCUUUUUCAGACAGACUGAUGUCUGGGAUACUCCAUGAUGAUUUUAUCUGCAAUGUGUGUGGCAAACAUGUCAGUCCUUUCUAGUUUUUGCUAGUUUUAAAGGGGGUUGCUGUGAAGAGUCAUGUGACAGUCUUUGUGGGGACAUAGGUAAGAACCCAGGAGUAAGAUUGGUGGGUACACAGUAACUGCCAGAGAAAGAACAGACCCACUGAACUGCCUCCGUGGCCUUGCGUUUCUCCUGCACUGGACGGGGCUGCACUGGACGGGGCUCCCAGAUGUCCACAUGGACGAUUAGUGUUGCUCUUUUGCAUGAUCAGAAAUGAGCCUAUGGUCCUCUUGGGGACUUGAUCUGACGUUUCCAAUGAACAAUGAUGGUUGGCAACUUGUCAUAUGCUUCCUGGCCACCUGCUCAAUUUCUGGGAUGCUUCUUUUCAAAUGUUUAGUCUAGGGAUUUUGUUUUGGGGAUGUUGCUGUUGUUGUAGUUUGUUUCUGUGGGGGUUUUUUGGUCAAACAAUGAGAUUGUCCUUCAGUUGAACUAUAACAUUUGUUUAUAAAUUUUAGAUACGAGUCUAUAUUUUUCAAAGAUAUGUUUACAAACACCUUUUCUAA